GCCUGCAAAAUAAAAAUAUAGUAACCAAACAGUGGCCUUGAUAUCUAUUCUCAAUCAUAAUCGACAUCUUGUUGAGUGUUGUCCUUGCAAAAAACAAUAGUGUUAUUAUGGCCAUAUUAAGUAUAAUUGAAGGGCUAGCACCGUGCCAUUAACGUUGUCCUAUUUGGUAAACGCACAUGAAUGGUUAUAUAUCAAACACAUCACAAGAGGGAAAAUAUUUACUAUAGAAGAGAUAAUUCUGUGCCUUCCAAACCUUCAUAGAUUUCAAAUAAAUUGCAAUAAGAACAAACAAGUUAACAAUUAAUCAAAUUCAAGACCAAAAUUACAAUUGAAGCUUCAAUUCAAGUUCAAUAGGUCUAACAAAUUAACUUACUGGAGCCUAAAGACCUGGGUCACUCUAACUAAGAAGACUUAGAAGAGAUGUUGUAACAAUAGUUUAU
rnacentral:lncRNA from 1 species